CUUUCUAACUGACAUGUUUAUUUUCUCUCCAUCUCUCGAGUUCCUGAGGUCAUAGUAAGACUGACGCAGGCCGUAGCGAGAGAAGCGCAUGGCGUCUGCUUCACUCAGACCUCUAGAAGGGCUCAGCAGAAUCAGGCUGGUUUUUGAGCGGACCCAUGUGGUUAUGACUGACCUCACAUCUGGGUAAACAGGAGAAAGAAACAGAUGCUGGUGUGUUGUGUGCAGAAAGACUCUGUGGAAAAUGCUAAUGGAAGACAAACCAUAGAGGCAUCAGCCCAGACACAGACGGCAGGAUUAUACGAUUAAGAAGAGAGGAAGAAUCGGACGCGGCUCCAGAGGGAGGAGAGGACGGAGAUAAGCAGUGACAGGAUUGUGCAGGGAAGGGAUGGUGGUGGUGGUUUAUUACACGGCUCCAGGGUGCGCAUUUCUGCGGCCGACAUGUUUGGACGUGACGUAUUGAAGCGCGGCUGUGAUUGAACACAAAAUAUGGGAAGAGAGAGAGAUCCGAGACAAUGAUGCCACUCAUUCCCGAUAGCGAUGAGAAUCAUGCGGAAUUUCAGUUUAGAUUCCUUAACUGUUUUGGUUCCUUAACAAAACUUUUCAU